GUGAACGCUGGCGGCAGGCCUAACACAUGCAAGUUGAGCGGCAGCGCGGGGGCAACCCUGGCGGCGAGCGGCGGACGGGUGAGGAAUUCGUCGGAAUCUGCCUUUUUGUGGGGGAUAACGUAGGGAAACUUACGCUAAUACCGCAUACGUCCUACGGGAGAAAGUGGGGGACCGCAAGGCCUCACGCAGAAAGAUGAGCCGACGACCGAUUAGCUAGUUGGUGGGGUAAAGGCCCACCAAGGCGACGAUCGGUAGCUGGUCUGAGAGGAUGAUCAGCCACACUGGGACUGAGACACGGCCCAGACUACUACGGGAGGCAGCAGUGGGGAAUAUUGGACAAUGGGCGCAAGCCUGAUCCAGCCAUGCCGCGUGUGUGAAGAAGGCCUUCGGGUUGUAAAGCACUUUUGUCCGGAAAGAAAUCCCUGGAGCUAAUACCUUCGGGGGAUGACGGUACCGGAAGAAUAAGCACCGGCUAACUUCGUG
rnacentral:rRNA from 1 species